rnacentral:rRNA from 1 species
CCCGCACGCCGGAAGACCAAGGGUUCCUGUCCAACGUUAAUCGGGGCAGGGUGAGUCGACCCCUAAGGCGAGGCCGAAAGGCGUAGUCGAUGGGAAACAGGUUAAUAUUCCUGUACUUGGUGUUACUGCGAAGGGGGGACGGAGAAGGCUAUGUUGGCCGGGCGACGGUUGUCCCGGUUUAAGCAUGUAGGCGGAUGUUCCAGGUAAAUCCGGAACGUUACUAACGCUGAGGUGUGAUGACGAGGCACUACGGUGCUGAAGUGACAAAUGCCCUGCUUCCAGGAAAAGCCUCUAAGCAUCAGGUAACAUCAAAUCGUACCCCAAACCGACACAGGUGGUCAGGUAGAGAAUACCAAGGCGCUUGAGAGAACUCGGGUGAAGGAACUAGGCAAAAUGGUGCCGUAACUUCGGGAGAAGGCACGCUGAUGGUAAGUGAAGUGACUUGCUCACGGAGCUGAAAUCAGUCGAAGAUACCAGCUGGCUGCAACUGUUUAUUAAAAACACAGCACUGUGCAAACACGAAAGUGGACGUAUACGGUGUGACGCCUGCCCGGUGCCGGAAGGUUAAUUGAUGGGGUUAUCCUCACGGAGAAGCUCUUGAUCGAAGCCCCGGUAAACGGCGGCCGUAACUAUAACGGUCCUAAGGUAGCGAAAUUCCUUGUCGGGUAAGUUCCGACCUGCACGAAUGGCGUAAUGAUGGCCAGGCUGUCUCCACCCGAGACUCAGUGAAAUUGAACUCGCUGUGAAGAUGCAGUGUACCCGCGGCAAGACGGAAAGACCCCGUGAACCUUUACUAUAGCUUGACACUGAACACUGGUCCUUGAUGUGUAGGAUAGGUGGGAGGCUUUGAAGUGUGGACGCCAGUCUGCAUGGAGCCGUCCUUGAAAUACCACCCUUUAAUGGCUGGUGUUCUAACGUGGGCCCGUAAUCCGGGUUGCGGACAGUGUCUGGUGGGUAGUUUGACUGGGGCGGUCUCCUCCUAAAGAGUAACGGAGGAGCACGAAGGUCAGCUAAUCCUGGUCGGACAUCAGGAGGUUAGUGCAAUGGCAUAAGCUGGCUUGACUGCGAGCGUGACGGCGCGAGCAGGUGCGAAAGCAGGUCAUAGUGAUCCGGUGGUUCUGAAUGGAAGGGCCAUCGCUCAACGGAUAAAAGGUACUCCGGGGAUAACAGGCUGAUACCGCCCAAGAGUUCAUAUCGACGGCGGUGUUUGGCACCUCGAUGUCGGCUCAUCACAUCCUGGGGCUGAAGUAGGUCCCAAGGGUAUGGCUGUUCGCCAUUUAAAGUGGUACGCGAGCUGGGUUUAGAACGUCGUGAGACAGUUCGGUCCCUAUCUGCCGUGGGCGCUGGAGAAUUGAGGGGGGCUGCUCCUAGUACGAGAGGACCGGAGUGGACGCAUCACUGGUGUUCGGGUUGUCAUGCCAAUGGCAUUGCCCGGUAGCUAAAUGCGGAAGAGAUAAGUGCUGAAAGCAUCUAAGCACGAAACUUGCCCCGAGAUGAGUUCUCCCUGACUCCUUGAGAGUCCUGAAGGAACGUUGAAGACGACGACGUUGAUAGGCCGGGUGUGUAAGCGCAGCGAUGCGUUGAGCUAACCGGUACUAAUGAACCGUGAGGCUUAACCUU